rnacentral:rRNA from 1 species
AUGUGCGAUCAUACCAACACUAAUAAUCCCGAUCCCAUCAGAACUCCGCAGUUAAGCUCGCUUGGGCGAAAGUAGUACUAGGAUAGGUGACCUCCUGGGAAGUCCUCAUGUUGCACUUU